UAACACGUGGGAACCUGCCUUUAGGUACGGAAUAACGUCUGGAAACGGACGCUAAUACCGUAUAUUUCCUCCGGGAAAAAGGUCCGCCGCCUAAAGAGGGGCCCGCGUCAGAUUAGCUUGUUGGUGGGGUAAUGGCUUACCAAGGCUACGAUCUGUAGUUGGUCUGAGAGGAUGAUCAGCCACACUGGGACUGAGACACGGCCCAGACUCCUACGGGAGGCAGCAGUGGGGAAUAUUGGACAAUGGGGGCAACCCUGAUCCAGCAAUGCCGCGUGUGUGAUGAAGGCCCUAGGGUUGUAAAGCACUUUCAACGGUGACGAUGAUGACGGUAACCGUAGAAGAAGCCCCGGCUAACUUCGUGCCAGCAGCCGCGGUAAUACGAAGGGGGCGAGCGUUGUUCGGAAUUACUGGGCGUAAAGGGCGCGUAGGCGGUCUAUCCAGUUGGGCGUGAAAGCCCUGGGCUCAACCCAGGAAUUGCGUCCAAUACUAAUAGACUAGAGACCGAGAGAGGAUAGUGGAAUUUCCAGUGUAGAGGUGAAAUUCGUAGAUAUUGGAAAGAACACCAGUGGCGAAAGCGACUAUCUGGCUCGGUUCUGACGCUGAGGCGCGAAAGCGUGGGGAGC
rnacentral:rRNA from 1 species